UCGCUGCAGCCGUGCUAACCCGGGGCAUCUGUCAUUCCGGUUGCUGCUAUUAGGAAUUAUUGGACUGAACCACUGGUGGAGACAGCACAGGGGGAAAAUGAGUUCCGGGGUGAGCUGCUGAGUCAGAGGUGGACACAAGGAGACAAAGCCAGCAACUGCAGGACCUCGAGGCUCCUCCUGGGCCGACGCGGCAAGGUGAGGCGCUUGGAGGGCAGCCCCUUCCCUGCCACCUGCCCCCCGCCCUGGGUCUGGGCAGGGCUCCUUCUCACUUCCAAGCAUGGGGCACGGAGGUGACUUUUGUCUGGUCACCACGAGUCUAGGGUAGACAGAGGGUUACAUGGGGGCUAGGACCAUCAGUGAUCUGGUCACUGUGAACCUUAAGGAAGAAAAAUGACUCUGAAUAGAGUGAAACUAAAAUAUGACAGCAGGGUGUUGCCUGGGCCAGGUGGGGGCUCUGGGUCUGGUCACACGGGGCUGUCCCCGUAGCUGCUCCCCAGGCAGGCCGAAUGCUUGGUAGACUUUGCUGCGG
rnacentral:lncRNA from 1 species